rnacentral:rRNA from 1 species
GCAUAUCAAUAAGCGGAGGAAAAGAAACUAACAAGGAUUCCCCUAGUAACGGCGAGUGAAGCGGGAAGAGCUCAAAUUUAAAAUCUGGCGGUGUAUUCCGUCCGAGUUGUAGUCUAGAGAAGCGUCAUCCGCGCCGGACCAUGUACAAGUCUCUUGGAACAGAGCGUCAUAGAGGGUGAGAAUCCCGUCCUUGACAUGGACUCCCGGUGCUUUGUGUUGUGCUCUCGACGAGUCGAGUUGUUUGGGAAUGCAGCUCAAAAUGGGUGGUAAAUUCCAUCUAAAGCUAAAUAUUGGCGAGAGACCGAUAGCGAACAAGUACCGUGAGGGAAAGAUGAAAAGCACUUUGGAGAGAGAGUUAAACAGUACGUGAAAUUGUUGAAAUGGAAACGAUUGAAGUCAGUCGCGUUCUCUGGGAUUCAGCCUUGCUUCUGCUUGGUGCAUUUCCUAGUUUACGGGCCAGCAUGGAUUUCGACCGUUGGAAAAGGGCUGGAGGAAUGUGGCACCUUCGGGUGUGUUAUAGCCUCCUGUCGCAUGCAUCGGUUGGGAUCGAGGACCUCAGUGCACGCUUCGGUUGUGCUUUGAUGCUGGCGUAAUGGCUUUAAACGACCCGUCUUGAAACACGGACCAAGGAGUCUAACAUGUCUGCGAGUAUUUGGGUGAAAAACUCGGAUGCGCAAUGAAAGUGAUUGUUGGGAACCUUUCACGAGGGGCACCGACGCCCGGACCAGACCUUCUGUGACGGAUCCGAGGUAGAGCAUAUAUGUUGGGACCCGAAAGAUGGUGAACUAUGCCUGCAUAGGGUGAAGCCAGAGGAAACUCUGGUGGAGGCUCGUAGCGAUUCUGACGUGCAAAUCGAUCGUCAAAUGUGGGUAUAGGGGCGAAAGACUAAUCGAACUAUCUAGUAGCUGGUUCCUGCCGAAG